CGGUGGUGGCUCAAGCCUGUAAUCCCAGCACUUUGGGAGGCCAAGUUGGGCAGAUUACGAGGUCAAUGGACAGGGACAUCGAAUCAUGGUAUGGAUCUCCCGACGCGGGUUAGAAGGGUUUGUGCUCAGUGAAGCUUCUCCGGAUCCCUCCCUGGACAGCAGGGAUUGCUGGUGUCCUGGCUUUCCCUGCUCAUGGGCCCCACUGGGCUUCCGACCAGUGCCUGCCAAGCAGCAACCCUUCUGCCAAGCAGCAACUCUCCUGCCACAGCCGUGGGAGGCGACUUGUCGGAGCGCACAUGCGAACUUGUGCGUAGAUGCGGCUCCACACCCAGGUGCGGGUUUUGUGUUGAGAAAGAGGAGCCUUUUCCAGGAGCCCAGACCCUGUGGCUUCAGUGGAAGGGAGAUGCUGGGAGCCCAGGUUCUGGUCCCCUUGCCUCAGGAGGAAUGGGGUCUGCGAGGUCGCACCCUUGUGUGCCAACUGACCUUGUGAGAGUUUUUCAGCUUGGGUGGGGGGCUGUCCCGGAGCCUCUUCAUGGCUUGCACUGGGGAGUCACUGAAGUACGGUGGCUCCCCAUCUACCAUCUCAAUCACCAUGAUGCCCAGAGACCAGAUAUCCACCUGCAGGAGGAAAAUGUCCCUGACCCCAUGGCCAGACCCUGGCCCAUUGGUAGCCGCGUUCUGGUGGCAGCAGUGGUGAAGGGGGGACGGCUGGCCCCAGCUCUCCUUGGUGGGUCUUUCUCCUUCCUCCCCUGGUCACCUGCCCUGUGGCCAGUUACUGCCUGCAUGAGUGACCACUACCUAUAGGGACACAGCUGUCAGUCACUCA
rnacentral:lncRNA from 1 species